GGGCGAUUAGCUCAGUUGGUAGAGUGUCUCGUUUACACCGAGGUUGUCGGCAGUUCGAAUCUGUCAUCGCCCA
rnacentral:tRNA from 1 species